GAUGAACGCUGGCGGCGUGCCUAAUACAUGCAAGUCGAGCGAAUGGAUUAAGAGCUUGCUCUUAUGAAGUUAGCGGCGGACGGGUGAGUAACACGUGGGUAACCUGCCCAUAAGACUGGGAUAACUCCGGGAAACCGGGGCUAAUACCGGAUAACAUUUUGAACCGCAUGGUCGAAAUUGAAAGGCGGCUUCGGCUGUCACUUAUGGAUGGACCCGCGUCGCAUUAGCUAGUUGGUGAGGUAACGGCUCACCAAGGCAACGAUGCGUAGCCGACCUGAGAGGGUGAUCGGCCACCCUGGGACUGAAACACGGCCCAGACUCCUACGGGAGGCAGCAGUAGGGAAUCUUCCGCAAUGGACGAAAGUCUGACGGAGCAACGCCGCGUGAGUGAUGAAGGCUUUCGGGUCGUAAAACUCUGUUGUUAGGGAAGAACAAGUGCUAGUUGAAUAAGCUGGCACCUUGACGGUACCUAACCAGAAAGCCACGGCUAACUACGUGCCAGCCGCCGCGGUAA
rnacentral:rRNA from 1 species